GUAUGUUGGAGAGGAAGAUCAGUUCCACGGCAAGAGAGAGUGAUGCGUCAGGUGUACGCUUCCCGCAAGUGAAGGAGGAAAACCGUGCGGAGGGCGACUCAUGUUGAGUUGAUCGGCUGAAGCCUUUUUUCUUCUUCUCCUCUCUCCUGCUCCGAUCUGCGCCGCUCCACGCUCUACGCGUAAAAAUCGCCACUCGGUGCUUUCAGGUCAACGUGAGGUCCUUGUCGAGCAGGUAUGCCUGAGACGUGCUGCUAAACAGAGGCUUACCCUCAUCCAAAGGGAGCUGCCCAAUAGGAAAGAAGAAACGAGACAAUGCUGUCCAGCAGCUUGAAGUUCUGCAUGUGUCAGCAAGCUUUGGGCACGACGAAUUCUCAGUGUCCUUGUAGGUACACAGGUGAGCACAUUGUUCUUAUUCUCAGAAGGAUGGCGGUAUGGAGCCCGUUAGCACUGUAGCAAUGGAAUCAGCUGUAGGUGACUACAGAGGGAUGAGCUCAAAAUUCUCCCCUUCACAAUCAACAUAACACAGCGCAAGCACAAGCAGGUACUGUGUGGCAAUAUCCAUGAUCUCAUCUGUCUGGACUGACACAACAGCCCUGCUCUGCUCUGGGCUGAUGACGUCCUCCCUCACGAGAGAAAACAAGUAUCUCAUGAGCUCGUUCUGCAUCGUUCCCCUAGAAACCGUGGCGUUCUCAAGGCGCUCCUUUCUGGGGUAUUCUGGAAUCCCGGGGUUACCUGUACUCCGAACUCACCGCCGCUGGCUACACAUCAGUUAAAUGGAGCUCCAUCAGCUCUCACUUGUUUCCUCCCAGAAACCUGUGGGUUGAUUUCCCCAAAUAUUUUGGCUCAUUGUCCAUGUUUCCUGUGAAACUUUGCUGAUCAAACAAUAUUUUCUAUCCCUGCAUACAAUAACAUAAGAAAUAGUGAAAAGGUCUAAAGAUAGAGAAAUUUGUCUAUGUCAGGUAGUUCACUGUGUCAGCUUAUAGUCUACCUGAGCACCGUUUAACAAAACCACUGUGUUUAUAGCAACUAAUAACAUUACAGACAUAACUGACUACCAUUGUAACGAUAUAGACAGUAAUAGUGUCAACAUAUAUUUGCUAAUUUUGCAUUUUUGUGUAUAACUUUGAAGACACAGCUGAGACCAGCAUUCAAACUAAGGAGGAGUUCCCUGAUCUGAUCCAAUCCUUCCUUGUCUUAACACAUUCCUUUUAUCUUCCGUGUUUACUUCUAUUUGUUAUCCUCUCCUAUUUUUUCUUUUCUUUUUAGGGGGAAAUCAGUCAUUAAAGGGUUAUUUUUGUUUAUGUACUUUGUUAUUUAUGUCAUUUAGGUUGUGUCUGCAUUUUGGUUCUUCUCCAUAAAGAGCUAAAAUGUCACAAUGGGUGAACUAAUGAUCAAAACUAAAUGGCUUCAGACUGCUUAUAUCAUACUUACGACAUAUACUUGCAUGCGGUCCACCAAAAAAUACCAACCACCCAUAGCCCUGUGGUGAUGACACUAUGCCUGAGAAGCACACAGUGUAACUUCAUUACAAAGAAGGUCUUUGUCUAUUAUGACUCAGUGUUUUCUGUGUAGGAACAACACACAACCAUGCUAGUCCUUAAAUUUGGAAAAUUGUAAUAAAUGUGUUUCGGGCAUGAGGAUCACUGUGAUCUUCAAGUUGUAUUGUACGUAAUGACACAUGAUGGCGAUGCUAUUAAACAUAGCAUGAAAAACGUUUGCAUCAUCAUGAUCUGUAGGUUUUAGUCACCAGUACAGAGGAGGGUCUGAAUCGAAAUCCACACAUCCAUAUGCGCUAAAAAAAAAUGUGUGUAAUAUUGUUUCAUAAGUACAAUAUAAAAUGUUGCAUUUAAUGGAAUCUGGUUAUUUGAAAUUCACUUGACAGGUGCACAUUCAGUUUACACCAAGCACAUUUUCCUUAGUGAUCAAUUAUUUGAAAAAAUAAAUCUUUCAUUUCAUAUUUCAGUCGCCUUUUUUAAAAUAUUGCUUCAUGUUUACUGAGGGUCAGGGAUGUUUUUUUGUUUUGUUUUUUUUUGAGUGUGGCCUCAUGCUAGAAGUUUUAAUUCCAUGCUACAAGUCUGGUUAAUUACACGUUAAGGUUUCUUGACAAAACACCAUAAUUC
ensembl:lncRNA